ACUUGAUCUGAAAUCAGGCGGGAUUACCCGCUGAACUU
rnacentral:rRNA from 1 species